AGGGGUUUAGGCUAAAAUUUAAACCAAGGGCCUUCAAAGCCCUAAACGGGAGUGAAAACCUCUCAACCCCUG
rnacentral:tRNA from 1 species